CUUGUGCCUGAGGUUGCUGAUGGGAGCACUGCCGCCGUUCCUCAGCAGGAAAGCAGCGCAGGGCAGCGCCGAAGGCUUCUGAACAAGCAGGAGGCGUGGGUUUCUAGCGCUGGAAAGGAAGUUUGCCCAGGAAGGGAAGUUGGUGCACUCACAAGUCCAGGGACCUUUUCAUCCUACUGAUCAAAGAUUGAGCAGUGAACCAGCAUCCUACAUCCUGAUGUCUGUUGGCACAUAAAUGAGAAAUAUUAUUUGCGGCGUUGAAGAACACAGCUAACGCAUGAAUUACUACCAUGAUAAUUCAGAGAAAUUGCUCUGUAACUUUCCAUCACAACUCUCUGUAGUCGUGACCUGCCAGAGUCUUCUUUCUUCAGUUAAAUCUUCCUUGUGAACGGAGUGUAGCACACGGAAUAGUGACUGAUUAUGUGACUGUUUUCUGGUAGCAGCAAACGCUUUAGAGGGAUUUAAGACGAAGUGAACUGACACUGACAUUUUCCCUUGGGAUUCCAAUCAGGAUUAAACUCAGUGAGUCCAGACUAAGAGGAAAGUGCAUUAAAAGCUAUCGGCCACCUCCAGAUCUCCACUGUCUUUCUUGUAUUGUUUUUUGGGCUGUUUUAUGAUUUGUGCAAGGAAGAAGACUUGAGAAAGUUCAAUCAGAGAAAAUUCUGAGCAGGUAGUUGUGUGAUUUGAGAUCCCAAAUAAAUGUAUGAAAUGAGAAGUUAUUAGGUCCUUUUCUACAGAAUUUGCAUU